CUGUUUUCAUAUACUUCCUUUUCUUUUCAGUGACAGAGACAUACUCAGGAAGGCUGGACCCAUGGAGGCUGCCCACCUUCUUCAUUGAUUUCUACUUGAUUGAUUCCUUCUUGAUUGAUUUCCAGGAUCUCUGAAACGAGAAGCCCUCCCCUUUAUAUGUUUAAUCAGAUAUUGCAAAGUGGACCUGAGAACGAGCCCGUCGGCAGCAGAUUAUGAAGUGGCCUAUGUUUUGAAUAUGCUGAACUGCUUUGGUUUGUGACUGGGGAAGAUUAAAGGCCUACAACAAAAAUGAGUGCUGGAUAUUGCUGACAAGAGAGGCUUCCUGUAAUUUCUCAGGCCAUAAGUAUUUAACUGUCUUUAUUUCUAGAGAGAGAAGUCUCUGUCUGAGAUUCAGGAAUGGCAGAAAAGAUAUUUGGUAUGGCAGUUGCUGCUAUGUAGCCCGUGAAACGGAGGAUUCUUUUUGACAACAGUGUCCCCAGAUGUCCCCUUGCAAAAUGGCUGACGUCAGAAAGUACACACGCUUCAUAAAAUGGGUCCCUCUCCUGGAAGAUUGCUUGUUGACCAGUCGACUUUGACAAGCCCAUGGUUGGCUAACCUUAAAAGGAUGACCGUUGUUAAGAGGAAAGGAGGGAAAAGAAUGGAAACAGGAGAGACUCUGCAGUGGAUAUGAUGUAAAUUCUUUGAAAUGUGAUGGAAAAAGGCCAGGGGGAAGAGAAAAUGAUAAUACACUGGAAAGAAAUCCCAGCUUUAAUUGUUUUCAUGUAUAUACGUAAUAAAAAGGUUAAAGG
rnacentral:lncRNA from 1 species